CCCGGGGCUGCAUUCGAAACUGCAUGGCUAGAGUGCGGAAGAGGCAGNCGGAAUUCUUGGUGUAGCGGUGAAAUGCGUUGACAUCAAGAAGAACACCGGAUGCGAAGGCGGCCUGCUGGUACGUUACUGACACUCAUACACGAAAGCUGGGGGAGCAAACAGGUUUAGAUACCCUGGUAGUCCCAGCUGUAAACGGUGUGCACUCGAUGUUGGCGGAAUUGUCCCCGCCAGUGUCCAAGCAAACGCGUUAAGUGCGCCGCCUGGGGAGUACGGUCGCAAGAUUAAAACUCAAAGAAAUUGACGGGGACCCGCACAAGCGGAGGAGCAUGUGGCUUAAUUCGAUGCAACGCGAAGAACCUUACCUGGACUUGACAUAUAACUGCACGUCCCGUGAAAGCGGGAUUCCUUCGAGGGUGUUGUACAGGUGCUGCAUGGCUGUCGUCAGUUCGUGCCGUGAGGUGUUAGGUUAAGUCCUGCAACGAACGCAACCCCUGUGUUUAGUUGCCAUCAGGUAAUGCUGGGCACUCUAGACAGACCGCCCGUGCAAUCGGGAGGAAGGUGGGGACGACGUCAAGUCAGUAUGGCCCUUACGUCCAGGGCCGCACACGUGCUACAAUGACCGGUACAGAGGGCGGCGAUACCGCGAGGUGGAGCUAAUCCCUUAAAACCGGUCCCGGUUCGGAUUGGAGUCUGCAACUCGACUCCAUGAAGUUGGAUUCGCUAGUAACGGCGUAUCAGCUACGGCGCCGUGAUACGUUCCCGGGUCUUGUACACACCGCCCGUCACAUCAUGAAAGCCGUCUGCACCCGAAGUCGCCGGCCCAACUUUUUUUAAGGGGGAGGCGCCUAAGGUGUGGGUGGU
rnacentral:rRNA from 1 species